rnacentral:rRNA from 1 species
AUUGAACGCUGGCGGCAGGCCUAACACAUGCAAGUCGAGCGAGCGGCGGACGGGUGAGUAAUGUCUGGGAAACUGCCUGAUGGAGGGGGAUAACUCCUGGAAACGGUAGCUAAUACCGCAUACCAUCAGAUGUGCCCAGAUGGGAUUAGCUGGUGGGUGGGGUAACGGCUCACCUAGGCGACGAUCCCUAGCUGGUCUGGGAGGAUGACCAGCCACACUGGAACUGAGGUACGGUCCAGACUCCUACGGGAGGCAGCAGUGGGGAAUAUUGGCCAUGGGGCGCAAGCCUGAUGCAGCCAUGCCGCGUGGGUGAUGAAGGCCUUCGGGUUGUAAGGCACUGUCAGCGGGGAGGCGUUACCCGCAGAAGAAGCAACGGCGAACUCCGUGCCAGCAGCCGCGGUAAUUC